rnacentral:rRNA from 1 species
GGGCCCGCACAAGCGGUGGAGCAUGUGGUUUAAUUCGACGCAACGCGAAGAACCUUACCUGGACUUGACAUCCCUUGACCGCCUAUGAAAGUAGGUUUUGUGUGUAGCAAUACAUGCACAAGGAGACAGGUGCUGCAUGGCUGUCGUCAGCUCGUGUCGUGAGAUGUUGGGUUAAGUCCCGCAACGAGCGCAACCCUUGUCCUUAGUUACCAGCACGUAAAGGUGGGGACUCUAAGGAGACUGCCGGUAAGAAGCCGGAGGAAGGUGGGGAUGACGUCAAGUCAGCAUGGCCCUUACGUUCAGGGCGACACACGUGCUACAAUGGAUCGAACAGAGGGUAGCAAUACAGUGAUGUGGAGCCAAUCCCUAAACCGGUCCUCAGUUCGGAUCGGAGGCUGCAACCCGCCUCCGUGAAGCCGGAAUCGCUAGUAAACGCAGAUCAGCCAUGCUGCGUUGAAUACGUUCCCGGGCCUU